rnacentral:rRNA from 1 species
UACGAAGGUCCCAAGCGUUAUCCGGAUUUAUUGGGUUUAAAGGGUGCGUAGGCGGAUUUUUAAGUCAGUGGUGAAAGCCUUCAGCUUAACUGAAGAACUGCCAUUGAUACUGAUGAUCUUGAGUAUGAUUGAGGUGGGCGGAAUGUGUCAUGUAGCGGUGAAAUGCUUAGAUAUGACACAGAACACCGAUUGCGAAGGCAGCUCACUAAGUCAUAACUGACGUUGAUGCACGAAAGCGUGGGGAGCAAACAGG